UACGUAGGUGGCAAGCGUUAUCCGGAUUUAUUGGGCGCAAAGGGAACGCAGGCGGUCUUUUAAGUCUGAUGUGAAAGCCUUCGGCUUAACCGGAGUAGUGCAUUGGAAACUGGGAGACUUGAGUGCAGAAGAGGAGAGUGGAACUCCAUGUGUAGCGGUGAAAUGCGUAGAUAUAUGGAAGAACACCAGUGGCGAAAGCGGCUCUCUGGUCUGUAACUGACGCUGAGGUUCGAAAGCGUGGGUAGCAAACAGG
rnacentral:rRNA from 1 species